rnacentral:rRNA from 1 species
UGAGGAAUAUUGGUCAAUGGACGGAAGUCUGAACCAGCCAUGUCGCGUGCAGGACGACUGCCCUAUGGGUUGUAAACUGCUUUUGUAUGGGAAGAAAGUGAGGUACGUGUACCUUAUUGCCGGUACCAUACGAAUAAGGAUCGGCUAACUCCGUGCCAGCAGCCGCGGUAAUACGGAGGAUCCGAGCGUUAUCCGGAUUUAUUGGGUUUAAAGGGUGCGUAGGCUGGGGAUUAAGUCAGUGGUGAAAGUUUGCGGCUCAACCGUAAAAUUGCCGUUGAUACUGGUUCUCUUGAGUACAUUUGAGGCAGGCGGAAUGUGGUGUGUAGCGGUGAAAUGCAUAGAUAUACCACAGAACACCGAUUGCGAAGGCAGCUUGCUAAGAUUUAACUGACGCUGAAGC